GAUGAACGCUGGCGGCGUGCCUAAUACAUGCAAGUAGAACGCUGAAGGAGGAGCUUGCUCUUCUGGAUGAGUUGCGAACGGGUGAGUAACGCGUAGGUAACCUGCCUGGUAGCGGGGGAUAACUAUUGGAAACGAUAGCUAAUACCGCAUGACAACAGUUAUUGCAUGAUAACUGUUUAAAAGGGGCAACUGCUCCACUACCAGAUGGACCUGCGUUGUAUUAGCUAGUUGGUGAGGUAACGGCUCACCAAGGCGACGAUACAUAGCCGACCUGAGAGGGUGAUCGGCAACACUGGGACUGAGACACGGCCCAGACUCCUACGGGAGGCAGCAGUAGGGAAUCUUCGGCAAUGGACGGAAGUCUGACCGAGCAACGCCGCGUGAGUGAAGAAGGUUUUCGGAUCGUAAAGCUCGGUUGUAAGAGAAGAACGAGUGUGAGAAUGGAAAGUUCACACUGUGACGGUAUCUUAACAGAAAGGGACGGCUAACUACGUG
rnacentral:rRNA from 1 species